rnacentral:rRNA from 1 species
UACGUAGGGGGCAAGCGUUGUCCGGAAUCAUUGGGCGUAAAGAGCGUGUAGGCGGCCCGAUAAGUCCGCUGUGAAAGUCCAGGGCUCAACCCUGGGAUGCCGGUGGAUACUGUCGGGCUCGAGUCCGGACGAGGAGUGUGGAAUUCCUGGUGUAGCGGUGAAAUGCGCAGAUAUCAGGAGGAACACCAAUGGCGAAGGCAGCACUCUGGGACGUGACUGACGCUGAGACGCGAAAGCGUGGGGAUCAAACAGG